rnacentral:rRNA from 1 species
GACGAACGCUGGCGGCGUGCCUAAUACAUGCAAGUCGAACGCAGUGGGGACGGGUGAGUAACACGUGGGUGACCUCCCAUCAGAGGGGAGAACACUUGGAAACAGGUGCUAAACCGAUACUGGUGGAGGGACCCGUGGUGCAUUAGCUAGUUGGUGAGGUAACGGCUCACCAAGUCCACGAUGCAUAGCGGGCCUGAGAGGGUGAUCGGCCACACGGGGACUGAGACACGGCCCAGACUCCUACGGGAGGCAGCAGUAGGGAAUCUUGGGCAAUGGGCGAAAGUCUGACCGAGCCACGCCGCGUGAGUGAAGAAGGUUUUCGGAUCGUAAAACUCUGUUGUUAGGGAGGCGGUAUCUAACCAGAAAGCCACGGCUAACUACGUGCCAGCCGCCGCGGUAAUAC